rnacentral:rRNA from 1 species
UACGAAGGGGACUAGCGUUGUUCGGAAUUACUGGGCGUAAAGCGCACGUAGGCGGAUUUGUAAGUCAGGGGUGAAAUCCCGGGGGCUCAACCUCGGAACUGCCUUUGAUACUGGAGUGCUUGAGUCCGGGAGAGGUGAGUGGAACUCCGAGUGUAGAGGUGAAAUUCGUAGAUAUUCGGAAGAACACCAGUGGCGAAGGCGGCUCACUGGCCCGGUACUGACGCUGAGGUGCGAAAGCGUGGGGAGCAAACAGGG